UUAGCUGUUUUUAAAGGAAAUGUGACAAACUUAAAAAAAAAAAAAAAAUCUUUUCUUAUCAGUUUAAUAUCUGAUAUGUCUCCCAUUGGGGGACACUGUUCGAAAAAUUCAUUUAAUAUGGAGUCGGAAAUGGGGCUUGCUCCGUCCGCUCCACGCAUCGACCCGGUAUUGCAGUACCUCCGGGAACGGUGCAACACUU
rnacentral:snRNA from 1 species